rnacentral:lncRNA from 1 species
CGUCGCCGCUCCCGGCCGACCCCCGCCCCUUCCCGGAGCCCCGAUCUCGCUUUUAUCCCCACCCCGAGGUCCGCCCUGCCAGUCCAGAGCAGCUGGGAGACGAUUUGUUAGGCAACAGCGCGAGGCGAUCAGCUGCGAAGGGACGCGUCCGGCGCGCGAGGCUGCUAAUCCAGGUACGUCAGGCGCUUCCUGCGUUAGAGACGCUGGACUGAAUAAAGACAGGAGCGCGGGGCAGGCAGAGAGAAUUACGGCCGCUUAAGAAAAGACGCGACGCCUACCCAUCCUCGGGUGCUGUUCACUCGUGGGCGGGCAGCCCCACAGGUGUGCGGCUGCGGCUAAACCCGGGGAAUUGUUCUAGGGGGAAACUGCGGGGAGACGAGAGCUGCGUAGUGGUUUCGCUUUCGUUUCCGACGGGCUUGCUCUCCGUGUUCUUGGCGGAGGUCGUUUUGCAGCUCUGGUCUUAGUGGUCCUCUUUCUGUCGUCCUUCUUUCUUCCUGCUUCAAAUGGGCCUCUCGUUCGACAGGGAUGUGUAUUUCUUCCCUUCCCUCGGUAAAGAUGUUUGUUCCUGUGCGGCUAGGUAGUGCUGUUUUUGACGGGGGCGCGUUCUGCCCUGAUAGCACCGCUAUGAGGAUCUUAAUUUCAGGGUCGAGGGUUCGAGCCUCAUAUUGGACAAGGAGUUGGACUAGAUGACUCGUGGGAUCCCUUCCAACACUACAAUGCUAUGAUUCUACGUAACACUCCCCCUCCCGCUGCCAUCUUUCAUUUUGGCAGCCUUUGCAAGUCUCCACCUGUGACCUGUGUCCGUCUGAACUGCAGCUGUAUUGAUGUAUUCCUUUGCCUUUCUUCCAAAGAUCUCAUGGCCCUGCUAAUGGUUCAAAAUGUAAAUGGUUCACCCUCCAUUUUAUCAUCACAACAACCAGUGCUAUUUUUCUAGAAAAAGAGGUGUCGGUACUCAGUAUGAACGCCUCCUUUGCUCUCUUAAAAUGGCAAUGGCGCCCACCUGAGAGGUGCCGGAACUGAGUUCUGGAUAAAAGAAAGAAAGAAAACAACCUUGCAAGGUAGGUUAGGCUGAGAAGCGGUGAUUGGCCCAAGGUAACCCAGGGAGCUUCGUGGCUGUGUGGAUUUGAACCUAAGUCUGGAGUCUAACCACCACCUUUGUGUUAUCCCUCACCAUUGGUCACGCUGGUUGGGGCUAAUGGGAGUUGCAGUCCAUCAACAGCUGGAGUGCUACAGGUUCCUCAUCCCUGCUCUACACCUUCAAAUGCAUUGAAACCGCUUUCAGAACUUCUGUUGAAAUUGCCAAGAUCAGGAGGGGGUGGGCAGUGAGUACGAUCCUGCUCUGCCCUUGACCUGUUCACCCCAAUGGUGGGUGGUGGCGACACAUGUGGUGCACACCAAUCCCACUCCUAACCUGCAUGGGGGCUUUUUGGAGAAGCUUUGACACCUGUAUGCAGAUAGGAACAAAUAUCUUUCAGACAUUGCGCUGAACAUGAAGAAGUCGGGGUGGAAAAUCUUGACAAGUCACAAGAGGUUGUGAGAUGCCUUCCAAAUUGGACAGUAUUCAUAAUUUUUCUAUACCACUUCAUCAUUGCACAUUCUCUGCUUAUUAGCCCUGUCUUGUGCAGUAGGGUUCUCCUAUCCUUUGAGUGGUUCACGAGGCCACAGGGAAGUUGGGAAAGUAGGAAACUUGUCUGCUAUGGACUUGCAAAGUUAACUAACCUUAGGAUCUAAGUCACCUACUUGCUGAUUUCUGCCCAGACACUGAGGUCCAGCGCCGAGGGCCUUCUGGUGGUUCCCUCACUGCGAGAAGCUAAGCUACAGGGAACCAGGCAGAGGGCCUUCUCGGUAGUGGCGCCCGCCCUAUGGUACACCCUCCCAGCAAAUGUCAAAGAGAUAAACAACUACCUGACAUUUAGAAGACCUCUGAAGGCAGCCCUGUUCAGGGAAGUUUUUAAUGUGUGACAUUUUAAUGUAUUUUUAAUCUUUGUUGGAAGCCUCCAAGAGUGGCUGGGGAAACCCAGCCAGAUGGGCGGGGUACAAAUAAUAAAUUACUAUUACUAUUACCACAGUUGUAGGGUUUUUCUAGUUGGUGAAUAUUGCAGAUUUUGUAGUUGCAACAGCCCUACAGCAAAAUCAGCAUCAUGAUAGCUUGUGUUCAUAGAAUUAGGCUGAUGUGGUCAGCCUUGUUGCUGUCCUUGAAAUCUCCCUCCCUCCCUAAAUGCAGUCUAGAUGAGAGUUGCCUUAGUAGCACUGACGUAAUUGAUGCCAGGAAUUGAUGCCAGCAAAGCGUGGGGAAGGCUGAAGAGUUCAAAAAAGAACUGGAAAAAAUACUCCCUUUCACCUUUUGACCUAUAUCUUGCAUCAGUGUUCCUUGGUUCAUUGUACAAUGUAGGAAAUGCUUUCUGUCAUUUAAGUAAAAGGAAGGAAAACUAGCAGAAAGUAUUUCCUACAUUGUACAAAGAAAAAGGUGACGCAAUUUCUAAACUUCGUGUAAUCUAGAUCAUGUUAGUGUGAAACACACUUUUGCUCUGCUUUGGUUUUCUAGAGCAAAACAGAACAAAUUAGGCAGAUCCCGCCCCCCCCCCCUUUCACUGAUAUAUAAUCUUAGAUUGCAUGAUCAAUAAUUGCCCAGUGUUUUGUAGCCUGGAGAAAAGUUGGAAGUCAGUUUUAGGCAUCCAUGUGCAAGUGGGAACUUCUUUUUUCAAGAAAGCUCAAAACAAACACUGCAGCCCAACCCCCCUUUGGUGCCUCUGCCCAGCCCUGCCAGUUAAAAAAAACAAACUCUUUUGGAUAUCAGAUUGCAAAGUCCCAUUAACUUCAGUGGUACUUACUCAGUAAGAGCAGGCUCAGGAUAGCAGACUUACUUGUGUGUUUUCCAACGUUUUAAAAGAUCAUUAUAAUAAAUUUACUUGGAAUUGUGCUAAAAAUCAGAGUGCACAAGGCAGCC